UACGAGAGGUGCGAGCGUUAUUCGGAAUUAUUGGGCGUAAAGGGUGCGUAGACGGCAUGUUAAGUCAACUGUUUAAUUCUCCGGCCUAACCGGAGUCCGGCAGUAGAUACUGGCGUGCUAGAGGGUGGAAGAGAGAAGUGGAAUUCUCGGAGUAGCGGUAAAAUGCGUGGAUCUCGAGAGGAACACCAAUGGCGAAGGCAGCUUCUUGGUCCACUCCUGACGUUGAGGCACGAAAGCGUGGGGAGCAAACAGG
rnacentral:rRNA from 1 species